rnacentral:rRNA from 1 species
AACGCUGGCGGCAGGCUUAACACAUGCAAGUCGAACGGGCACUUCGGUGCUAGUGGCAGACGGGUGAGUAACACGUGGGAACGUACCUUUCGGUUCGGAAUAAUUCAGGGAAACUUGGACUAAUACCGGCUACGCCCUUCGGGGGAAAGAUUUAUCGCCGAAAGAUCGGCCCGCGUCUGAUUAGCUAGUUGGUGAGGUAAAGGCUCACCAAGGCGACGAUCAGUAGCUGGUCUGAGAGGAUGAUCAGCCACAUUGGGACUGAGACACGGCCCAAACUCCUACGGGAGGCAGCAGUGGGGAAUAUUGGACAAUGGGCGAAAGCCUGAUCCAGCCAUGCCGCGUGAGUGAUGAAGGCCUUAGGGUUGUAAAGCUCUUUUGUCCGGGAAGAUAAUGACUGUACCGGAAGAAUAAGCCCC